AUUGAACGCUGGCGGCAGGCCUAACACAUGCAAGUCGAGCGAGCGGCGGACGGGUGAGUAAUGUAUGGGGAUCUGCCCGAUAGAGGGGGAUAACUACUGGAAACGUUGGCUAAUACCGCAUACUAUCGGAUGAACCCAUAUGGGAUUAGCUAGUAGGGGGGGUAAAGGCUCACCUCGGCGACGAUCUCGAACUGGUCUGAGAGGAUGACCAGCCACACUGGAACUGAGACACGGUCCAGACUCCUACGGGAGGCAGCAGUGGGGAAUAUUGGGCAAUGGGUGCAAGCCUGACGCAGCCAUGCCGCGUGUAUGAAGAAGGCCUUCGGGUUGUAAAGUUCUUUCAGUAGGGAGGCGUUAACUACAGAAGAAGCACCGGCUAACUCCGUGCCAGCAGCCGCGGUAAUAC
rnacentral:rRNA from 1 species